rnacentral:rRNA from 1 species
GACGAACGCUGGCGGCGGGCUUAACACAUGCAAGUCGAACGGAACGGCCCGGCUUUUGUGGGCGGCUCGAUUGGCCAAGGGGUGGGUAACACGUGAGUAACCUGCCCUUGACUUUGGGAUAACUUUAGGAAACUUGGCCUUUUACCGGAUAGGAUCUCCGGCUGCAUGGGGGCGGUGGGAAAGUUUCGGCGGUUGGGGAUAGACUCGCAGCUUAUCAGCUUGUUGAUGUGGUAGUGGCUUACCAAGGCUUUGCCGUGUAGCCGGCCUGGGAGGAUAACCGGACCAACUGGGUCUGAGCUGCGGCCCAGCCUCCUCCCGGAGGCGACGGUGCGGAAUAUUGCACUAUAGGCGGAACCCUGAUCCAGUCCAGCCGCGUGCGGGAAGACGGCCUUCGGGUUGUAUACUGCUUCCGUCUGUCCCGAGACGAGAAUGACGGUAAUGGGUAAAGAAGCACCGGCUAACUACGUG